rnacentral:rRNA from 1 species
UGGGGAAUAUUGCACAAGGGGCGAAAGCCUGAUGCAGCAACGCCGCGUGAGUGAUGAAGGCCUUCGGGUUGUAAAGCUCUGUCUUUUGGGACGAUAAUGACGGUACCAAAGGAGGAAGCCACGGCUAACUACGUGCCAGCAGCCGCGGUAAUACGUAGGUGGCAAGCGUUGUCCGGAUUUACUGGGCGUAAAGGAUGCGUAGGCGGAUUUUUAAGUGAGAUGUGAAAACCCUAAGCUUAACUUGGGGACUGCAUUUCAUACUGGAAAUCUAGAGUGCGGGAGAGGAGAAUGGAAUUCCUAGUGUAGCGGUGAAAUGCGUAGAGAUUAGGAAGAACACCAGUGGCGAAGGCGAUUCUCUGGACCGUAACUGACGCUGAGGCAUGAAAGCGUGGGUAGCAAACAGGAUUAGAUACCCUGGUAGUCCACGCCGUAAACGAUGAGUACUAGGUGUAGGAGGUAUCGACCCCUUCUGUGCCGCAGUUAACACAAUAAGUACUCCGCCUGGGAAGUACGAUCGCAAGAUUAAAA